UAGGGAAUCUUCGGCAAUGGACGAAAGUCUGACCGAGCAACGCCGCGUGAGUGAAGAAGGUUUUCGUAUCGUAAAACUCUGUUGUUAGAGAAGAAGAAGGACGUUAGUAACUGAACGUCCCCUUACGGUAUCUAACCAGAAAGCCACGGCUAACUACGUGCCAGCAGCCGCGGUAAUACGUAGGUGGCAAGCGGUGUUCGGAUUUAUUUGUCGUAAAGCGAGCGCAGGCGGUUUCUUAAGUCUGAUGUGAAAGCCCCCUGCUCAAGCGGGGAGGGUCAUUGAUAACUGGGAGACUGGAGUGCAGAAGGGGAUGGUGGAAUUCCAUGUGUAGCGGUGGAAUGCGUAGAUAUAUGGAGGACCACCAGUGGAGAAGGCGGCUCUCUGGUAUGUAACUGACGCUGAGGCUCGAAGGCGUGGGGAACAAACAGG
rnacentral:rRNA from 1 species